AGGUGGCAUAACGUGGAGGAGGACUGUUCUGUCGAGGGUGAAGGGCAACGUUUUGCAAUGUUUUCCGGCGUACGGUUGGCCGCAAAUGGGUUCCAUGAACUGCAAAUGGCCAUGUCCAGUCUAGGUCUGUUCAUGGCAUUACAACCCAAGAUCAUUGCCGGUGGAAAAUCUGUUGCAGCAUUUUCUACUACGUGCAAACACAAAGGAACCAUACCUUGGGGAAGGGCAGCCUGCAAUAUAUAGGCCAUAUCAUAAACAACUAAGAAUUAUAUACUUUGAGUGUAAUAGAUAGUUGAUUAAAGAAGGUUUCAUAACUGGACAAUUGCAACAUGCAAAAGAACUCCACAGAGUCCAAUGCCUAUGGAGGUUGCAGCAAUAACAGUUGGACCUGUCAAGAACCUAAUAGCCAUAGAAAAUGCUGUCAACACAAAGGAAUCAUAAACAAUAUAUAUAUAAAUUGUGCAGGGUUAUAUUUGGAAUGCUGAUUGCAUUGCCCAUAACCAUACUCUACUACGUGCUUCUUGGACUCUAAUCUAUCUUGCCAGGCAGAAGGAUAUGAUGCUGUAACUGUACGUACUACGUGAAGCCAAGGACACCACGCUCAAGCGGCUGGAUGAAGAAACGUAGAAGAUAUUUGAUUUUAGAUGUUAGAGAGGGAAAGAAAAAUUAUAUAUAGUAUAUAGUAGAAUGCUAUAUAUAUAUAUAUAUAUUAUUUAUGAUUGGUAUGAAAGUUUGGGUUUGAUUUCUUCCAAA